rnacentral:tRNA from 2 species
AGGAUAAUAGUUAAUUUAUAACAUUUAAUUUGCAAUUAAAAAUAAUUUUUUAAAAAUUUAUCUU